CCCCCCUGUGGGUGCGUUGUGGGCGGAUGAUGGUCUCCCGUGCGCGAAAGCCCGCGGCUGGCCUAAAAGUGAAGUCCCCGACGAUGGAUCGUCACGACACGUGGUGGUUGAACAACCUUGUCGCGUCCUGUCGCUGGCGAACCCGUUGUCGGGCGUCUCCAAGACCCUGACGCGCAUUAUUACCAACGC
rnacentral:rRNA from 1 species